GAUAGCUUCAGUGAACAUUCAACGCUGUCGGUGAGUUUGAGAAUUAGAAAAAACCAUCGACCGUUGACUGUACCUUGAGGUAUAUCACA
ensembl:miRNA